AUGCUAUUUCAAAUCCUGAAAGAUGAUGCUGUGAAAGUGCUGCACUCAAUAUGCCAGCAAACUUGGAAAACUCAGCAGUGGCCACAAGACUGGAAAAGGUCAGUUUUCAUUCCAAUCCCAAAGAAGGGCAAUGCCAAAAAAUGCUCAAACUACCACACAAUUGCACUCAUCUCACACACUAGUAAAGUAACGCUAAAAAUUCUCCAAGCCAGGCUUCAGCAAUAUGUGAACUGUGAACUUCCAGAUGUUCAAGCUGGUUUUAGAAAAGGCAGAGGAACCAGAGAUCAAAUUGCCAACAUCUGUUGGAUCAUCAAAAAAGCAAGAGAGUUCCAGAAAAACAUCUACUUCUGCUUUAUUGACUAUGCCAAAGCCUUUGACUGUGUGGAUCACAAUAAACUGUGGAAAAUUCUUGAAAGAGAUGGGAAUACCAGACCACCUGACCUGCCUCUUGAGAAAUCUGUAUGCAGGUCAGGAACAGUUAGAACUGGACAUGGAAAAACAGACUGGUUCCAAAUAGGAAAAGGAGUACGUCAAGGCUGUAUAUUGUCACCCUGCUUAUUUAACUUAUAUGCAGAGUAUAUCAUGAGAAAUGCUGGGCUGGAAGAAGCACAAGCUGGAAUCAAGAUUGCCAGGAGAAAUAUUAAUAACCUCAGAUAUGCAGAUAAUACAACCCUUAUGGCAGAAAGUGAAGAGGAACUAAAAAGCCUCUUGAUGAAAGUGAAAGAGGAGAGUGAAAAAGUUGGGUUAAAGCUCAACAUUCAGAAAACAAAGAUCAUGGCAUCCGGUCCCAUCACUUCAUGGCAAAUAGAUGGGGAAACAGUGGAAACAGUGUCAGACUUUAUUUUUGGGGGCUCCAAAAUCACCACAGAUGGUGACUGCAGCCAUGAAAUUAAAAGACGCUUACUCCUUGGAAGAAAAGUUAUGACCAACCUAGACAGCAUAUUAAAAAGCAGAGACAUUACCUUGCCAACAAAGGUCCGUCUAGUCAAGGCUAUGGUUUUUCCAGUGGUCAUGUAUGGAUGUGAGAGCUGGACUGUGAAGAAAGCUGAGCACCAAAGAAAUGAUGCUUUUGAAUUGUGGUGUUGGAGAAGACUCUUGAGAGUCACUUGA
rnacentral:lncRNA from 1 species